AACGAACGCUGGCGGCAGGCCUAACACAUGCAAGUCGAGCGAGGACUUCGGUCCUAGCGGCGGACGGGUGAGUAACGCGUGGGAACGUGCCCUUUGCUUCGGAAUAGCCCUGGGAAACUGGGAGUAAUACCGGAUGAGCCCUUUGGGGGAAAGAUUUAUCGGCGAAGGAUCGGCCCGCGUUGGAUUAGGUAGUUGGUGGGGUAAUGGCCUACCAAGCCGACGAUCCAUAGCUGGUUUGAGAGGAUGAUCAGCCACACUGGGACUGAGACACGGCCCAGACUCCUACGGGAGGCAGCAGUGGGGAAUCUUAGACAAUGGGGGAAAUCCUGAUGUAGCCAUGCCGCGUGAGCGAUGAAGGCCUUAGGGUUGUAAAGCUCUUUCAGCUGGGAAGAUAAUGACGGUACCAGCAGAAGAAGCCCCGGCUAACUCCGUG
rnacentral:rRNA from 1 species